rnacentral:rRNA from 1 species
UACGUAGGGUGCAAGCGUUGUCCGGAAUUAUUGGGCGUAAAGCGCACGUAGGCGGCUUAGCAAGUCGGAUGUGAAAGCCCUCGGCUCAACCAAGGAAGUGCAUCCGAAACUGCUGAGCUUGAGUACUUAAGAGGAUCGCGGAAUUCCCGGUGUAGAGGUGAAAUUCGUAGAUAUCGGGAGGAACACCAGUGGCGAAGGCGGCGACCUGGGCCAAUACGUGACGCUGAGG